CGGCCUUCGGGCCGGGGAGACGGGCGAACGGGUGACUAACACGUGAGGAACCUGCCCUGUAGAUCGGAAUAACCAUGGGAAACUGUGGCUAAUGCCGGAUAAUCUCGGAUGACCACAUGGACGUCUGAGGAAAAGGUCUGCCGCUACGGGAUGGCCUCGCGGCCUAUCAUCUAGUUGGUGAGGUAACGGCUCACCAAGGCGACGACGGGUGGCUGGCGUGAGAGCGCCCCAGCCACACUGGGACUGAGACACGGCCCAAACUCCUACGGGAGGCAGCAGUGGGGAAUCUUGCGCAAUGGGCGAAAGCCUGACCCACCGACGCCGCGUGCGGGAAGAAGGCCUUCGGGUUGUAAACCGCUUUCAGGAGGGAAAAAGCGAAGGUGACGGUACCUCCAGAAAAAGCCCCGGCCAACUACGUGCCAGCAGCACCGAAAAUACGUAGGGGGCAAGCGUUGUCCGGAAUUAUGGGGCGUAAAGAGCUCGUAGGCGGCCCUUUAAGUCGGUGGUGAAAUCUCGGGGCUCAACCCCCGAAACUGCACCCGAUACUGGAAGACUUGAGGCAGGUAGGGGAAGGUGGAAUUCUUGGUGUAGCGAUGAAAUGCGCAGAUAUCAGGAGGAACACCCGUGGGCGAAGGCGGCCCUUCUGGGCCUGUUCUGACGCUGAGGAGCGAAAGCGUGAGGAGCAAACAGGAUUAGAUACCCUGAUAGUCCACGCUGUAAACGAUGGGUGCUAAGUGUGCGGGGUUAUCCACUCCCUCCGUGCCCGCAGCUAACGCAUUAAGCACCCCGGCCUGGGGAUUACGACCGUGAGGGUUAAACUCAAAGGAAUUGACGGGGGC
rnacentral:rRNA from 1 species